rnacentral:rRNA from 1 species
UAACUUAAAGGAAUUGACGGAAGGGCACCACCAGGAGUGGAGCCUGCGGCUUAAUUUGACUCAACACGGGGAAACUCACCAGGUCCAGACAACUUUAGGAUUGACAGAUUGAGAGCUCUUUCUUGAUUAGUUGGGUGGUGGUGCAUGGCCGUUCUUAGUUGGUGGAGUGAUUUGUCUGCUUAAUUGCGAUAACGAACGAGACCUUAACCUGCUAAAUAGCCAGGCUAGCUUUGGCUGGUCGCCGGCUUCUUAGAGGGACUAUCGGCUCAAGCCGAUGGAAGUUUGAGGCAAUAACAGUUCUGUGAUAGCA